AGUGAACGCUGGCGGUAGGCCUAACACAUGCAAGUCGAACGGCAGCACAGUAAGAGCUUGCUCUUACGGGUGGCGAGUGGCGGACGGGUGAGGAAUACAUCGGAAUCUACUUUUUCGUGGGGGAUCACGUAGGGAAACUUACGCUAAUACCGCAUACGACCUACGGGUGAAAGCAGGGGAUCUUCGGACCUUGCGCGAUUGAAUGAGCCGAUGUCGGAUUAGCUAGUUGGCGGGGUAAAGGCCCACCAAGGCGACGAUCCGUAGCUGGUCUGAGAGGAUGAUAAGCCACACUGGAACUGAGACACGGUCCAGACUCCUACGGGAGGCAGCAGUGGGGAAUAUUGGACAAUGGGCGCAAGCCUGAUCCAGCCAUACCGCGUGGGUGAAGAAGGCCUUCGGGUUGUAAAGCCCUUUUGUUGGGAAAGAAAAGCAGCAGGUUAAUACCCCGCUGUUCUGACGGUACCCAAAGAAUAAGCACCGGCUAACUACGUG
rnacentral:rRNA from 1 species